GAACCGUGACCUUAGUGCUUUUUGGUGGUUGUUUGGUGCAACUAGGGGUUGGCAUAAAAUCCGAUACCUGGACCUGACUCCGAAUACUCGAACCUGAAUUACCGGCUCGCUAUUUUCGGAUUGUAAGUAUACGAUCAAUCUGAUUUUAGUUUGGGUGAUUCGGCUAUUAGCCCCCAGUACCUGAUGUACCCAUUUUAUAUGAAAAAAAUGGGAAGACUAUAUGCUAUUUGGUUGUGAUUGACUAAUUAUGUGGUUUCCUAAUGUCAAUUUUUGAGGUAAUUGGGAACUACUCAUCUUUCUUUUUCCUUAAAUGCUGCUAAAGAACUGCUGUUUAUAGUACUUAGAAUUCCUGUUAUAGCUAUGUCCAUUACAAUGGUUUUACUGGUCUCAGAUAGCUUGGGGACGCUACUAUUUUCUCUGGACAAAUUUCGAAAACCUAGUUUUUUGAAAACCCAAAUUAUCUUACUUAGAACUUUAAUGGCUGUCCACAUUAGCGGGCUAUAGUAAAUCUAUAGUGGCUCACACCAGUUGUCGCUAUAGUACAGUUGUACUAAACAGUGAACUAUAGCAGGAACUACCGUGGUUAACUUCACUAAAUGCUAAGGCCUUGUUUAGUUCGUAAAAAAAUUUGGAUUUUGACACGGUAGCAUCUUUGUUUUUAUUUGACAAAUAUUGUUUAAUAUUGGAGUAACUAGGCUUAAAAGAUUCGUCUCGCGAUUUACAGAUAAAUUAUGCAAUUAGUUUUUGUUUUUAUGAAUAUUUAAUGCACCAUGCAUGUGCCGCAAGAUUCGAUGUGACAGGAAAUCUUGAAAAUUUUUGGAAACUACCUAAAGCGUGCUAUUUAGAACGCUAGCCUGCUAUUUGGAACGCUAAAUGUUAUAGCCUGCGGUGUAUAGAACAUUUGAUUUUGAUUAAUGCUGUUCAUUUUUGCACGGAUCCCAAAGCAUCUCCUGCUGGUGAUGGUGAGGGUAGACGAUGUGGGGGUUUUAGUGGAGUGGGAAACAGGGCCUGAGCUCUCGUCCGUCCGAUCAUGGCUCCUGCCGCCCGAUGGCCGCCACGACCAUCGUCCUCGCCCCGCGUCAGUCGCUCCCGUCACUCCUUAUCCCUUCCUCCCUGUCCGCCAAAGAAAAUCCCCCCAUCGCGUGCGCUGCGCCUCCUUCCCCAUCCGCACGCACCCGCCCGCCGCUGCUCCUCCGGCAGCGUCGCCACCGCCACGCGCCCACCCGCAACCCGCCCGAACGGCCGGCCAGCGCUGUCUGGUAUUAGUGGUACUAGUAUCUAUCAAAUCAGCCAUCUGCCCUCUGCCCUCCUAUCCAAAAUCAAGUCCAUUUCCAUUUCCCUUUCCUCUCUACCCUCACUCUCGUCUCCGGCGGGCGGUGGUCUCACUCACCUCCCUUUCCCCGUCGCCCCCUGAUGGCUCCCUCGGCAGCUCUCGCUCCGGCGGCCUUCCGCUCCGCCUUCUCGACGCCGCUCGCGUCCAACCCUACCCGUAAGUCCCAACGCUCUCCAGCUUUUACGCCCCGUUUCGGUCGGUUCUUACUCGAGUUACGAUUUAGAGCCAGCGGGAGUAAGUAGGAAAUCUGGAAUCAGUUCCUCCCCAACGGCAGCGCAGCGCAUUAUCCAUGCGCUGGGUGUCUGAUUUGGGGAAGAGUUCCAUUGGAGGUGGUGUCGUUGUCUAGGGCGUCGGCGGGGGCUGCGUGCGGGAACGCCAGGUCGCGGCUUUGUUGGGACUUGGGAGCAGCGUUCGGUGAUGGUAGCCGGCUGCCUGGCCUGGAGCCGUUGAGCUCGAGUCGGGGUCUCGAAACGAGUAGAACUGUCCAUUUUGCAACAAUUACAAAGCUGUUACCUUCCUAUGAAUAAUCACGAGCAUGAGAAAAUUACUCUAGAUUUUUGGAUUUACUAUGGACUCUCGUUCCUUUGUUGAACCAAAACCUUUAUAAAAUGGGCUCUUGUGCAAUAUUCCAGUCUGCCAUUCUUUUGUACUGAUGAGUCACCAGUGCAUACUUGAUAAUUUGAUAUUGGAUUGGGUAACAUCUAAACUGUCUUAUGCCCACUGUUGUGUCUGUUGUUCAGGUAAUAGAAUAAACAUAGAAGGUGCUUUCUGUUUGCCUUGUUCCACAAGGAAGAGAGCUAGUUAUAGACCUUUUCGAGUGUACAGUUUAUUUGGAGGGAAGAAGGAUAAAGAUGAGAACGGUGAUGAGCCAUCGAAAGUAAGUAAUUGACUAAUCAUCUUAUUUUCAGUAUUAUUGUGAAGGUUCCGUUCCUAAUAAUAGCUCGAACUAAGAAAAACUUUCUAAUUUCAUUUUUUUGUGGAUAAUUCAUUAGGCAUAUAUUUAUGUGAGAACUGAAGAAGUCCAUUUUUUGCCACUCAACUACAGCUUAGUAUGAUUUUGUCCAUUCAACUCUGAACAAGAAAUCUUUGGCCGUUGAACAAUGAAAAUCGUUCAUGUUUGGUCAUUGAGCUGGUUUCAUUGGUGUUUUUGCUGACGUCGAUGACAUGUGGCAAUAGGCGCACUCAUCAAACCUCUCUUCUCUCUCUCUCUCUCUCUCUCUCCCCUCCCCAUGCCAUCUAUUUCACCGUCUCUCCCCCCAUGCGCGCCAUGGGAGCCUCCUCAUCACGUCUCUCUCCCUCCUCCACUAGGGUACUGCCACCGCCUCCCCGAAUGUGCAGCACAUGUCCUAGCCCAGGUCCACAUCCAUGCCUGUGAGGGAGGGAGGGCUGACAAGUGGGUCCCAUUGCGUGUAGUCCACGUCAGCGAAAACCACCACCAAAAUGAUUUAGAUGUCCAAAUGUAAACGGUUUCAAUAGUUGGUUGGUCGAAGAUUUCUGGUUUUUGAAUUUCACGGUGGAAAUCAAACUUGAGUGAUAGUUUGAUGGCGAAAAAAUGGACUUGUCCCUAUAUUUAUGACACAAAUAAAGAACAGCAUGCAAAGAAUUUUAGGGAAAUGAGCUUUUAUGAGCAGAUAACACCUAAUCUUUAUGCCGCGAGGCAUGCAACCCAAAAUCUCAAGCUUUUUCUUUGUUUGGAUAGUUGAGUAGUGAUUGUUCAUGCGAAAAAUAACUCUGCUCAUACAUAAUUCUCUUUGUAAGACAGUUACUUUUGAAGAUUGCCAAACUGAUUCCGGUCAUUUAGUUUAUUACUCAUUUCGUAGUUGGCAUUUUGUUUAUAACGAUCUUGAAGCCCUCUUCUUAAUAACUUUAGGCAGGAAUUUUUGGAAAUAUGCAAAAUCUAUAUGAAACUGUUAAGAAGGCCCAAAUGGUUGUCCAAGUUGAGGCUGUCCGGGUGCAGAAGGAGCUUGCAGCGUAUGCAUUUAUAUCAUUAACUUUCUCAUGUUGGUGCAAAAUAGCCUGUCUCCGCAACUUUAUUUUUUCUCCCAUUUUCUAGGACUGAGAUUGAUGGCUAUUGUGAAGGUGAACUAAUCAAGGUAUCUUUGGGAAAGCCUUUUAUUCUAUUCUCUGUAUUUAAACUUUGUUUAUCCCUGCCAAUUAAUUGAGUUCUUACAUUAUUGAGAAAAACUAAUGAUUGGGCCUGUUAAAAUCUUAGCAUCAUUAAUAGCCCAUCAAUAUUUUUCUAUUCAUAAUCUAGUCAUGUUGUAUAUAUGAGAUUAUGGUUCUUGUCUUUCCUAUAAGGUUUUCAAUUGUUAUAUUAACUACACAAAGUCACUUUACUUUUAUUAGCUCUGGGUCUAGAUAAAACUGUAUAGUAAAUAUUUGGGUUUAGGUCACUCUUAUGUCUUAUGCAUUGUUUUGACAUACGGACACUGGCAAAGCUGUUCGUUUCAAGGCAAAUAGUUGAUGUAUCGUGCAGGUGUUGUUAUAAAUAAAAGUGAAACAAUAUAUGUGGGCAUCUAGAAUGUGGCAUCUUGUAAGUUGGUAAAAACUAUGUGUUAUUGGGGUUUUAUGUGCCCUAUGUAUUUAUCGGUACUACAAAGUAUUAACUUAAGCGCUUUAGCUCUUUUGUGUUUCUCUACAUCCAAUCCUUACCCAGGUUCAUAAUUGUAUUUGAUCCUCUCGAUAGGUUACACUUUCUGGAAACCAGCAACCUAUUAGAGUUGAAAUCACGGAAGCUGCAAUGGAGUUGGGUGCUGAAGUAUGUAUCAUGCCUUUGCUUCUUUGAUUAUUUUAUCUGAAGUUUUUGCGUGAGAUAAUGUUGUCAUGACUGAUGUAGUGAUUACUUGCAUGUUGAGGUAAAUAGAUAUUGAUUUUAGUGAUGUAGUUACAGUAGUAAUGUAGUUACAGGUUAUAACAACCCGUUUCUCAAAAUCUGGAUAUUAAUUGGUUAAACACCUUAUGUUUGUGCACAUUCACACCAGAGAAAAUUGCUUGUGGCUCAGUGGCUACUGACACGUCUGCUAAAACGGUCUGACCUAUGAACAACGUGCAUUUGUGAACGUGCACGUCAGAAAUAUCAUUGGAAUGCAGGAUAACAUUUCAUAUUCAUGACACACAACUUGUUUGCGGAAGAAGACAUUGAUGCUUUAUAUCAAGGAAUGUAUUCAAUUCAUUGCUUCAAAGGGGAAAUAUGGAACCCCCAUCACUUAGGCCAGUCUCAAUGCAUAUUUCAUGAGAGUGUCAUGCACAUUAAAUAGGGUGUCACAUAAGCAAAAUUGCUGACUUGGCAGGGUCAUUAAAUAAGGAGUUUCAUCAGAUGAGAGAGGAGUUUCAUCCCCAUGAAACUCGUGGCUCGGUUAUGCCAUGAAACUAUGCAUUGAGACUGGUCUUACACCCCUGUAUUAGAAAAAGAUGCAUCUUGUGUCAAACUCUGUGACAACUUGUGGAUUAGUUAGAUUUUUUUUGUACAUUCUAGAUGGAUGGAUGAUUGCCUGGCAUGGCAUAUGAGAUAUUGGAAAGCCUUUUAGGCCAACAUUUUAUUUUGUUGUCAAUCUUGCUUAUCCCAACACUUGUUAUGUUUCCUUUCAGAAACUUUCCGAGUUGGUCAACGAUGCUUACAAGGAUGCACAUCAACGGAGCGUCCAGGUGUGAAUCUUGAAUCUCAACGAUGCUUUAUUGCAUACGAUAAGGAGGGGUUUCAAGCUGAUUGCUGUGUAGAGAAUGCAAAAUCUAUAUUUACACUAAAAUGAUCUCCGACUAAUGCCUGCAGGCCAUGAAAGAGAGGAUGGCUGACUUGGCACAGAGCUUAGGAAUGCCUGCAGGCCUCGGCGAUGGUCUCAAGUGAUGCCGCAAUUCGGGAAACCUUUCCAAUAAUUUUUUUCCUCAAUUUUGUAUACUAGCCGUGUGAGUCGUAAGUUUAACCCCUCUGCGACCUCUCAUAGCUGCGUAAGAAGUGUACUCGUGAGCACCUGUUGCUUUCAGCUUUAGCUGUAAUUUGCUGUUUUGCACAAGCAGAUAUUUGCUCCCUGGUAAAUGAAUCAUGGUAAUUAGGCUUGCACCUGGACGUCCCACGCAACAUGGGUACAUCACUUGUGGUCUGCUAGGCUAUGUUGAGCAUGUCUCCAACAAGUUGUUGGGCUGGAGCAGUUGCAGCCUGUGAAGAUGAGACAGCCAAAGCCCAUUCUACAUACAUACCACCGAAAGCCUUCAGAAUUGGUCGUGUGACCAAAGGAGGAAUCAUGACAUUGGUGAGCGUGAUUUGAAGAGUAAAAUGCUAAAGUUUCGUUUGUCACAUGACAUCAUUACUAGACCCUAGCCGUUGAAUGUGGCAUGAAGCAGAUCAUGGCUGGCAUGUUUGCUUAUGAACUCACUGCAAAGACUUCCUAUGGCCUUUGUAUAAUUUUCGCUGCAGGUGAUACCUUCCUUUUUCUAGUUAUAAGCAUGCCUGGGCACAGCAAAGGUACUUUGAAUUUAACCUUAUUAGCCGAGUCGGUCAUGCAUCAUCGUGUUUAUCAUGGAAGUUCACACCUACCAGCCUCUAAAUUCUUUAUUAAAUUUCGAAGCCACAACGUUCUUCUCUGAGUCUUCUCGAGUUUUUAAUUAUUUAUUUAUUCUGGGGAAAACCACAAGAUCUAUUCGGAAUUUAAUCACAAAAUAUCUCUAGAUAACAAUAGGACUAGCUGGAGACUUUUCCUAGUCUGUUUUUCUAAUUAAAAUAUAUGCAGGUCUUGAUCGUACUCCAGAUUUAAAACCUGAACCACCAUGUGCACAUCUGCUCUACAAGACUUAAUUUUGCACAUUGUUUGUUCAUGAUAUAGUGUUUUUGCAGCGGUUAUGCAGCUGCAGUUGUAGCGGACAAGCCAAAUCUAAAUAUAGGAUUUGUUUGGAUAACUUUGAAUCCUAGUUCAUUCUAUGUGGAUGGAGAGAACAUGUGCGAGAGAGAGAAUCAUUUUUCUGUGAAGACCCUCUCAUGAAGCAAACGCCGGGUGGGGAUAGCUAAGGUUGUGUUUGGUUAAGUUUUUUAAAAAGUGCUUCUGCUACUAAAAAGCAAAAAGCCAAUCAAACAGGUCAACCUAAAGCUAUUUUUUAGAAGCAUAUGCUUUUGGGUUGUACAAAGCAUAUGCUUUUAUGUGGUAUAAUUUUAGGAUCACUUUGGAUCUUACUUUUGGCUUUUGUCUUUUUGCUUUUCAAAUGGGUGGAAUAGAGAAUUGUUUCACAACUUUUUGCAGGGAGAUAAAGUGAGGGGUAGUUUUAUACUUGUUUCACCCAAACAACUUAUAACUUUUCCAUCAUAGUUAUUAAGGCGCCGUCUAGGCGACGACUAGACGUCCGAGCGAUUUUUGAAUCAUGGCGUCGUCCUCGCCGCGGCCUCCUCGCAUAUGGCGUCGCCUUGGGCCAAAAGUCGUCGCCAAGGCGUCGGAUUUGUUGAGGCGGACACCGCUGGACGGAAAAGGUGAGAGGGAAAGAGCAGCGCGAUCCGUGCGCGGGGAAAGGAGGGAGGAGCGCGCGCGCGGGAAGGGAAAAGGAUUGAGCUGUGCGUGGGGGGACGAGCAGCGCUGCUCGCGCGGGAAAAGAAGCUGUGGCUCGCAUACAUCUCCCGCCAGAGGCUCCCCAAUCCCCAUCGUGUCUUCCCAAUCCCAUCGCAUCUGUUGAGAGAGAGAGAGAGGGAAAGGAACGAGAGAGGAAGAGGGAAGAGGGCGGCGGAGCACCUGAAAUCCGGCGCUGGCGCUGACGCAGACGGCUGCCCCGCGCAACUCCGCCCCAUCCGCACGACUCAGCUUGUCCGCACGACUGUCUUGUCCACGACUCCUGCCCCUUCGCGACUGCUCUGUCCACCGUCCGGAGAGCGAGAGGGAAACAGAGGAGAGAGGGGAAGAGAAGGGGCCAUCCCCAAUCCCCACCUGGUCUGCCUCCUUUUCUCCCUCCUUCCUCUGCUCUGCUGCGUGGACUCUGUUCUGCAUCUUCUUCCUCUGCUCUGCUCCUUCUACUAUGCUCUGCUGGUUGCUUCCUAUCUAUGGUUGCUAUGGAUUAGCAGCAUUAGUAAUUAAGUUAUGUUAUGUCAUGUCACUAGAGUCUAAUUUGCUCUUAUUGAGAGAUGAGAGAUUUCAGUCAGAUUUACUAGUUUGCUACUUUAUGUUGUGCCCUAUUACUGUUGCAGAACUAUUUAGUAUGAUAUUAUAUAUGGUAUGAUUUGCUUCUGAUUUCUAGUGGUACUAUAUCUUAAGAUGUUAGUAUGGCGUCGCCUCGCCUUGCGCCUUAAACGCCUAGGCGUCUGGAAGGGGGUCGAGCGCCGCACCUCGCCUUACCGCCUUAAAACUAUGUUUUCCACAACACUUAUCUUAUCGUAGCAAUUUUUCACAACUCAUAGUCCACAAUAGUUUUUUCUACUACUAACAGUCGAACCAAACAGACCCUUAUUGUGUUAAAACCAAAUAAUUUGACACCUCUAGCAAGACCUGGUAUCAAUUUUAUGUAUUUAUAAUGUUUGAAUAAAUUUAUAGAAAGGAGUGUCAAUAUUUAUGACACCAAAUAGAUAUACUAUGAAAAUAUAUUUCACAAGGAAUCUAAUGAAACGAACAUUGAUACUUUUAUAUAUAAAAGAGAGUUGGUUAAACUCAAGAUGGUUUGACUUGGUACUAUGCUAGAAUAUUUUUUUUAUUCAAACUUAGGUCUUCUGCACAAGCGCUCAAAAUUCUCUCAACAAUCAGCAGCUGAGAGACUCAAUCCUUGUUCCAAUUAGCAUUCUGUGGAAUAAAGGAAAAACAUGACAAAGAAUUAGACAAUAUAAGAGGACAAGGUGGCAGACUCGAAGAGAUAGUUGCGUGCACCACAAGCUUGCUUAUGAAUUUAGAGCCACCCUUAAAAAUCGAAUUUGUAGUUUUUAGAGACGGUUGAAUAACGUCUCUACAAAUGAUACAAAAAAUUAGAGAUGGCUAGCCAACACCCCUAAAAAUUGGGUUUUUAGUUUUUAGAGGUGGUUGAAUAACGCCUCUACAAAUGAGGCGGGAAAUUAGAGAUGGCUCGUCAGUCGCCUCUGAAGGUCCUAGAUGUAGUAGUGAAAUAUCUUUAAAUAACAAUAGGACUAGCUCCUGAUGAAAGUAUAUGCAGAUCCUGAUCAUACUCUUUAAAACAUAAACCACUACAAGACUUAAUUUUGCAUGUUGUACCUAUAUAAGCUCGAGUCUAUUGUAGUGGCCUUUACUAAGGGCCCGGGGAGGAAGAUAACGUGUGACGGCUUACGCAUUUGAAAAACGUGCAACCCAUUUUCCUCCUCCACGUGACACCCCUCUAGUCGUCUUCCUCCUCACUGACGUCGUCGUCCUCGUCCCACCCUCGCUCCAGCUUUCAUAGCCCUAUGGCUAGCGGCUCCCGCUGCCUAGCCACGCCACCCACCUCUCGUCCCUGCCCUCCCCUAGCCUCUGCCGUGAUGCCUCCGCGGUGGUAGUGCGGUGUGGCCUGUGCGUGGGCGGGCUUAGUGGCACCCAAGAUAGUGAGGGAACUUGGUUCCUAGUGCAACACAAUAGAAGUUGUGGACAGAAGAGAGCAGUAGCGUGGUUCAUGGUGAGGAUGCAUGUGGUCAGGUAUGAUAGGAUGUGAUGACGACAAGAUAGACAAGGAACACAUAAGUGGCAUUGUAAGUUGAGGCGACAACGAUGCUUCUGUUGGAGAGUGCGACGAGUAGGUGGGGUAUGAUGCAAUAGGGGAGAAAGGGAAAGAGGAUAGAGAAGAGAAACAUAAAUAUGACAUGUAGUCCUUACUACCACGUGUUGUCCACACAAGUGAAAGCGACCUUCAAAUAGCUGGAUGACCAUACAUGCACGAAUUUGAUAGCUAAAUAUUUUUGGUUUUGGAGUUAUAUCAUGGACAAAAUCAAACUCGACAUAGUUCGGUGGUAAAAAAAUGGACCUCUCCCUUCUUAAAAGAAUUCAUGAUAAACCCUAAGAGUUAAACAAAACAAUGCCUCCAAUUAAUAAUAAUAAUACCCAUGAGACUUUUGUUCACUCUCCUUUCCACAUACUCAAGUACAUUUUAUUUUUUAGGUUAAAAUGCUGGUCUUGAUCUAUGCUUGAACAGGACACAAGCACACUUCAGCAAAUUUGAAUGCUUUCCAAUUCAGUGUCAAGAUUUUAGAUAUUAGAGCCCACCAAGUGUACUGUGUACAACAGCUCGUCGGCUAGAUUAAGCAAAUAACUAUAACUCAAUGCAAGAUGUCAAUAGAAAACAAAGUUAAGCAUCCACCUUUUCAUCAAAUUCAUGGUAAUUUUGUUGACUAUGUAGCGAUUAUAUACACAUCCGAACCUCAGUGCUGGUGGUUAGUAGUAAGUACUCCAUCUGUCCUAAAACUCUAAAAUACAAUUGAUUUUUUGUUGUUAUAAGUCAAAUCAUCAUAAUUUUGAUCAAAUUUAUGGAGAAAAGUAUUAACACAUAUCAAAUGAUAGAGUUAAAAUACAAAAAAAAAUCAUUUAAUAAUUAAUAUAAGAAAGUUCAUUUGAGAUCGUAAAUAUUAUUACUCUUUUCUACAAACUUGGUAAAACUUAGAAUGUUUUGACUUAGAACAUCUGAAAUCCCUUAUAUUUCAAGAUCGAUGGAGUAGAACCAAAACUUUACUCUUAUGUAGGAAUCCUUUAAUAUAAGCUACCGACACCGGUAACAAAAAAGUGAUGAAAUCUCAGAAUCCAACUUUUCAUCAAAUCUACUUUGUUAUAAAAUGAAUUUGUUAGCUUCUAACAUCUCAUUUGCUAAACCCCUAUCACUUCAGAACAAGACCCAAAAUUAUUCUAAAUCAUGCUCCCUUUCAUAGCCUUUAAGACCCUCAAGAUACCCAAGCAGGGAGAUACCCCUGUUAUCCAAUAGUAUGGAUGAUUCCCUUUUGGCUCCUUUUGAUAUAACCGUACAUUUAUAUAUAUUCUUGUAUGCUCAAUUAGGGGUUUAUGCUAGUGAUGUGAAAGGAGAAUGUUGGGGCAUGCACAAAGUCGUAUGUCUUGAACUGGACACGUUUCAAGUAUUAAGAGGACAAGGACAAAUCGGUGACAUAAACAAGGAUGGACACGUGUCACAGCUUUAGACAUCUUUUGUUUUUUUCUGUGUUUUUUGAAGAGCGAAGGAGUAAACCUUUACUUGAGGGUUAAGCCUAACAAGUUAUAUAUGCAUUAAAAUAAAUCUUAUCAGUUAAAGCUGGACAGAUUGAGACUUAUAUAUGAAUCUAAAUAUCUUGUCAGAUCGCAUGCUUUCCCAUAUACCUGCAUUUGAUUAAUGAGCUAAUUAUGCUUUAUGCAAGUCUAUGAGCUAUGCUAGGCAUAUAGUUGGGUAGAAAAAGAAUUCAAAAGAUGUCUCAAUUCUGUCAAAGGCUAUAUAUUCUCAUAUAUUCAUGUAAACAAUUUUUUCUCCGUGUAAUCCAGGCUUGAUGUGUAGUCAUCCAGUAGCAGUCCAACAAUGUGUGGAAGAGUAUUUGGAAGCUACAUGUCCUCCCAUAAGGUUAAAGAUCUUCAUCUAGAAGGUGAUUAAUAUAAUGAAGGAUUUCCCACUAGAGUAAAUAAAUGGAAAAGAAAUUUGGAGUCUAAUGGCAUUUGUCACUUGUCUAUAUAUAUGAGAACAUAUAUAAAAGAUGAUACACAACUUCCUUUUUAACAACACAUUGCUCUCAUUUAGGGAUUGUAUCUAUGUAUGAGUCCAUAGAGCUAACUUCUUUCAAUUGCUACCAUCCUUAUAGUUAAUCUAAUCAUGCAACAUAAAACAGGAUAUCAAAAAAGGCAAAUGGUGUAUUAAUCCUUCACAUUAGGCUCCGUGACAAUGACAAGGCAUGACUUUAAUAAGUACUAGUACUCAAGUACACCUAUUGCGGGAUGUAAUGCCGAAAUUUCGUGCCUUGUUCAGCUCGACAGUGCCAUUUGAAGUUGAUGUCUCGUUUAUCCUGAUUGGCCCCAAGCUUUCCCUGAGCAGCCAUGUCAACUACACAUAUACGCCUAUAUGCAUCUUUAGUUUAAAGAAAGGAGUUUGUUAUGAGCUUCGUUUGAUUAAGCUAUUGCUUCAAGUAGAUUCCAGGAGUGUUUGAUCGGUUGCUCCAUUGAUUAAUGGCCAUGAUUUGGAUCUGAUGAGUCAGCUAAUCCAUCACUAAUGCCCGCUGCAUAUAAUAAGCAUUCUGUUAACAUUUGCAUGUCACUUCAGGUGUUUGUGUGUGUGUGCACUUUUAUUAAUAAUAUAAGAAGAGGACUGGAUGGAGUUUGAUCAUGCAUGACCAAAUGGAUAUUUUGAUGACCUGUAGCUGAUGGUAGAGUAUGGUGUGUUGGAGGUCAUUAUUAGAGGAUAUACUGAUCCACUCCCAACACAUUCACAAAAAGUUCUUGUAUUGACAUCGACAUGGAAAUACAUGUAUUGGAGAAAAACAAUGGAUCUAAGAAAAAUGGUGAGUCUAAGAGUUGUGUCAGUACCAUUGCAAUGUUUGCGUGUGACAAGUCGUUGUUCAGAGAAAACCAGCUAUCCUUGCCGCAGUUGUUUUAGUUUAGUUAGGACACUAUUAGCGGAAUAAUAGUGGACCAUGGAUUAGCUACCAAAUUGACAGGGAUUCUGACAUGAAGCAGCCUUAUAAAAUUGGAGUCCCUACGCACAGAUUCUGAUGGGUUUAGUCCUAGUAGUUGUUUAGUGAAAUUUUCUUCUACAAAAAACAAAGUUCUCAACUAAUCGGCUAGAGAAUAUUGAACUUUUUUGUUAGAACAGUACUGAACUGUUGAUGCAGUGCAUGCUCUUUUCUCUCUGUGCAUAUUGAGACCCACAACAUCCAACUGCCUGUAUCACACUAAUAAGCUAGUCAAACUUGGGGACAUCCACUUGGCAGUGUUAUGCAGAUAUCAAUCUCAACAAAGCUUGAACUCAAGUAUUGAUCAAUUAUUGCGAUGAACCUUUUUGAUUCACGCACCAAACAACAUUUUUGGCUUAUCAGUAUCAUUUUGCAACAGGAAGAUCAUACUGAGUGAACCCAAUAUACCAAGUUCAGCUGACUAGCUAUCUAGGUGAAUCACCACAAAGACGAUACACAACUACAUCCUCAUUACAUGUUUAAUUUGUACAAUAACGACAGCUUGCUGUUAUAGGACAUUUUGUGAUAGAUCUUGAAUGAUAUUAAUCUAAAAAGGAAAUGGUUUAAUUAUACUAGUAUAAUGCACCUCCAUCCUCAUCACCUGGAUUUGAGUUCCGAGUCCUAAAACCACCUCAGGUGUCCAUGGUUAAAUUUAGACAAGAAAAUUAGAGGUAUGCAAAGGGUGAUUGUUUUAUGCUGUUGCUGUGCAGUAAUAUCCACUUAACAUGUUUGCAGUUUCACGGCAAAAUCAUGUGAACAUGAGAUCUGUCAGUACACUGCACUUUUAAUGUGGGAAUGCAUGGCAAUGAGGAAAACUUCCCAGUUCCGACCAUGAUCAUAGAACAACCAAGCAGACAAACGACCUGCCACCAGUCACCACUCACCACUGAUGCAGCUGCUGGCAUUGUGCAUCUUGUGAAUGGCACAAUCACAAUAAUGACGAUACAUCAUGAAUUAUAGCUUAAACCAUGCAUCUCAGAAUUUCGAUUUUAACAUUUUCCCAAGACCUAAUUGCAAGGGUGUGAUGAUCUUGACAUUGCAUAUUGCCUUAUCCCAUUGGUGCUGUUUUUUGGAAGCCUUGCCUUAGGACAGGAUAGUGCAUGUCAGCAUCACUAGUUAACAUUGGUGUCCCACUGGUCAUUUUGUUUUAAGUUUUCCAUAUGUAUAUACCUGAUGAAGUCAUCUUCUAACUUCCAAACUUGUUGCUAUCUGUUGACAACAAGGCUAGCAUCUGAAGGAAAACACAAGCUUGCAUAGCUAGUGGGUGUGCAAGGGCACAAAUAUAUUUAGAGAAGUAAACUGUGGGAGUUUUAAUUUGACAAGUUUGAGAGCAGCACUAGAACCAAGAGUUAGCGAACUACUCCUUGCGUCCUAGAAAAUGUUGAUGUUUUGGGAUUAAAAAAUUAUCCUAGGAAGCUUGAUUUGUUUAGUUUUUGGACACUAGGUUGAGACCACAUUUCAGCUUGAGACCGCGGCUAGCUAUGCCUCUAUGCAUUUCUUUUAAUUAGUGUGGAUCACUUCAAUAACUACAUAGGUAAUUUCCAUUGAACACUCUUAUAUGCACAACCACCACACUUAAUAGAUUAACCGCGGCGGCCGCCCUAAAGCAACCGCCAUAGUUAAUAGUCAUUAAUGAUGGCGGUUGCUUUAGGGUGACCGCUGCGGUUAAGUUUUAACCAUGACGUUUGUUUGUGUUAGGAUGGGGGACAGGGUUCGAAGUUUUCUCGAUCUGUGAGAAAAUAUCAUCUAAGAAUACCCGAGGACUGUCAUACCCUCAUAGGUUGAGUUUUUUUUUAAGUAGCUCUAUUUUGAGACGGCUGUAGUACCAAAAAUUAUAAAACUUUGUUCCCUCUGUAACUUACAAAACAAAAAAGUUACAGGACUAAAUGUAAAAUAAAAACACUAAAAGGAAAUUUAACCAGGAGUCGUACUUAUCAACAACAUACAAGGGUGCAAGUUAAGAGCAAUUGAGUGUUCACAAAUACGUGUAGCUAGUUUUAAUAUAGGAGCUAGCUAAACUCCUAAGGCUACACUUACAUGUAGAACACUUUUGUGUGCCGUGUAAAAUACCAUAUCCAAACGAUCCUUUUGCUGUUUUGCAGCCUCUUUUCUGAGGCCUAUUUGUUCUCUUCUUCCACGUAUAGGAGUUUGGCAGAAAGACGCGGGGCAACGUGAGGCCUUACAUCAAAGCUCACGUCCUUUUUCAGAUAACAAAAGAAUUAAUUGAAGAGAGACCUAACUGAAGCAAAUAUAUACACUACCAGCAACUAAUUAACUAGGAGGAAUCCAGAUGAGUAGGUACAGAUAGCCAUCUCGAGUAGUUCAUUAUUCAAUAUACAUAUGCAAUAAUCUAAGCUUAAAAUAACUAUUAAUAGGUGAACUAUAGGAUGUAUCUGCACAAAAGUGUUCCUUGGAAUCCAUAAAAAGUAAGCUAAAAGAGAUUAGAUCAGGAUCCUCAUGGCUGGACUUCACAUUACACAUGCUACAACUAGCAAGAAAUAUGCAGAAAUCUCUAGAUUAAGGGAUGUUUGGGAUUGCUCUGCUCCAUAUUUUUCAGCUCUGCUUCACGUUUUUCAGCUCCACACAUUCUGUUCAAGAAAAAAAGAUGAAGUUAUAAGAGCACCUAAAGAGAUGCUCCACAAUCUCUAGUUUUUUAUGAAGCUGCUCCUCGGUGGAGUUGUGAGACAAACUCUAGCUUUUCCGAAGCUGUUCUACUGUAGAGUUUGUAGAGCGGUCUUAAAUACCCUCUAAAUGCUCGAUUUACUAAGCUAUGUCAUGCAGAUCUCUGUCAUCCUAUAUUAGCUUAUUACUUAAUUCAACUGCCACACUGCAACUAUUAUGAGCACACACAACUAGCCAUAGGCUAACUAUAGCUAUCUAGUUCACCAUUUUCUUUGGAUCUUUGCACGGGUACAGGCUGACUUGCUUUUAGGUCAAACUAGUAGCUUAUAGGUGAUCAAAAGAGACACUUGGCAAGACGUAAGAUGAACGUGUGGUAGACACAUAUAUGCUUGUACAAUAAUUUCUGUAAUAAUAAAAAAAAUAAGUCCAAUCAGAUUUGUCCUAAGUCAAAUUCUAGCUUUGAUAAUAGGUCCCUAAAAUUUAAGAUAGAUUGACAAUGCUACUAUAUAGAUUAUUCAUCAUGGUAAAUCCACUUACGCAUAUACAAAACUCUUUCCAUCUAAAUAUAUGCUACUGUAUUUUAAAGGUAAUUUAGUCAAAAUGUUGUAUUGAAUACACAACUGUGUUGAGAUAUGCUAACUUAGCUUAUAUUUGUGAUAAACGAAAGAAUUUGCUUUAUUACUGUACUUUUCAACUGUAGCAAUAAGUGGAUAUGCAUUACUAGAAAUCAUUGAUUUGUAGAAGUGGUUAUGCAACCAUCCUGGAAAUUGGUUUCUAGAAAUUUCAAAAACAGGUGUGGAAAAUAGGAAAAAGUUUUAAUCGAUCUAUCAUAGGAGAAUAACACUAGCUAAGUAAUAUUUAUAUAGCACAUCAAGGAAGCCCAUACACCGCCACACCAUACCACACUAUCACUUGUGACCAAAGUCCAAGUAUAGAAUAUAAUACUUUUUAUUAUUUUUUAUGAAUCUUGUAUUGAAUAUUUCUAUGCCUAAAAGAUCUAAAAAAAAUCAACUAUACAAUUUUAGAUCUCAAAUAUUCAUCCGUGGUUGUUUGAAUUUUAAUUUUUUAAAUUUGAGAAAUUAAAAUAUACAUUUUGAUCCUAAACAAUCUCAAAUAAAAAAUAUCAACUAUAAAGUUUUCAUGUCGUAGAACUCUACUGCUUUAAUACAAUAAUGUUCAUGUUCACCAUACUUAAUUUAAAGAAUAUUAAUUUCUUUUUAUCCAACAUCUAUUUCUAGGAUCAACCAAAUUUUCUAAUCACCCAUAGAAAUGCCCCUAUUUCAAGGGACGGUCGAUAGCACCAUUAAUCCGUACACAUAAAGUCACAACCUCUACAUAUUGUGGUUGAAAUGUGGGGUCAUAUGACAUGUGGGGCCAGCUGACGUUAGCUUUUUGAAGAAGCCACAACCAUUCAACCAAUAACUUUUUUCUCACAGCUAAGAACCUAGAACAACUUUUCUACGACCCACAACUCACAAUAACUUUUUCCAAAAGAUAUAGCUCAACCAAACAGACUGCUCUUAACUGAAAAAGUUGUUAAUAGUAGAGUUAUACUCGUCGAGCACUAAAUUUUAGUGUUGACUUUUGUUUAGAUUUGACAUUGUUAAACAUGUCAAAUCAUAUACAAGAUCUUAUAUUAAAUAUUUAGAUAUGUAAAUCAUUUUAAAUUUAAAAGUUAUUAACUGUAAAGUUUUAGAUAUCUUUAAACUUAUUUUGGUAUAAAGUUUAUCUUGAUCCAACUUUAUAUGAAAAAGUUAUAAUUUUUUAUGCAAAGUUGCUUAUUAGUGUGGUUGAAGCCACAAAUCUCUCGUGAAAGUCCAUUUAUUACUACUUGUACUAUCACUAUCAAUUGAAGCCACGUACCAAUAGCAACUCCCUCUAAACCAACUUAGAGCAACUCCAGUAGGGCCCCUACUUGAGCCCCUAUAGCUAAAUAUGGGUGCCUAGGCAAAAAACAGCACUCCAGUAGGGCCCCUACUAGAGCCCCCAAUUUGGGGUGGGCACCCAAAUCUUCCCUGCAGCCUCUAUUUCUGUUGGCCCAACAGCCCAGCCCCCAUCCUGCGUGGUGUGGCAAUUACCUCAUCACACCGAACAAGCGCAGCUUUGCCCAUCUCCCUCCAGCGCUAAUUUUCACUACCGCGCUCCCUCCCUCCACCUCCGACCUCCACCGUUGGGCCUCGCCGCCAUCCCUUCCGAUGAGAGUGGCCUCUCCUCGAUGAGCGGGAGCAGCCCCAGCCAUAGUUAUCGCGAGCGUCGAGCCUCCCCGUGGCCAUGCGGUAACGAAAUGUUUGACCCAAUGACGAGUGGGUCCCAUAUGUCAUUGUCUGCCAGUUUGGAUUUGGGGGCCUUCAUUUAGGUGGUACUGUUGGAGUGAAAGCAAAAAUUUUGGGCACCCAAAAGUAGGGGAAGCACCCAAAUGAAAAGUAAGGGCUCUACUGCUGGAGUUGCUCUUACAAGGGAGCAAUUUGGGUAGUCUAGUCUAACGGAUGGAUUUGCUCUAUAAAGAUAAGUCAAUACCACUCUGGUAAAUAGUUGAACAGUGCAAUCCAAUUGAAAGCACACAAUGCAAUCAACACAGUCCAGUAUAUUUUUUUUUCAUCUUAUUAUCUUUUAGUUUAUCAUUCUUUUUCAAAUAUAGCAUUGUACCUGCUAUGCUUGGGCCCCUUCUUGGGGCCACACUUGCAUGGAUACUCUUUACUACAAGAAAACUAGUUGCUCCUUCACUAAAAGCGCGAUAGUUAUCUUAUAAUUAUUUGUUAGGAAACUAAUAUCGUUUAUCGCCAUACAAGCAUGAUGGAUUGAUGGUUAUCAUUUGCUAGUCAUCUGAAGCUAGUCGUUUAUUAUCAUGAAAGUGAGUGACAGAGGCAUGAAUUCUAAGAGCUAUACUCUUAUUAUAUAGGAAUAUUUUUACCUAAAAAAUGUUUCUCUUUUUAUGAGUCCGGGGUCGCCAGGCGGGGUUAUCUCCCUUUGUCCGCCUACACAUAUGCGUGCUGCUGCAGAUUACACAUAAUUUUCUUGUGUGUUCGAUAUGCGUGGCACAUUUCGCGCCAAUAGUUGUUAGGACUGGUCUUUCAGAAGAUAAUAAUGUUACUUGCAGAUCUAUGCACCCAAAUCGUUCGGAAUCAUUACACGAGCUGUAUAUAUAGUUUUCAUGUAUACGCGUGGAUCAUGAUAGCCAAUAUUGUGGCGGCUGUGGGUUUGGUAUUAAUUGUAUGCAAUGCCACUCAUCAUUGCUGCGUUCAUGCAUGUUCUGUUGCCCACUUAAUUAAAAAAGGCUCAUAAAAAAUUCAAUUAGGAUCACUCACACAACUAAUGAUCUUCUUAUUAAUGUCAUGUGUUGCCCAAAACUACAACUCGGUUUAUAUCGUUUCUCCAUCUAGAAUACUUGGAAAACAAAAAAUAAUUUUAAAUUAUUUGUACUACCAACAAAUUAAGAAAAUCGUGUAAAGAUAUAAGCCAACCGCUAGUAUAAACCCAAGAUUAACACUAAUGCUUCCUUAAGUCAAUCGAGCAACAUAUUACACAGGUAGUUGUCUUAAGCCUAUAUCAGUGUAAGUAGAGCAUUUGUACUAGUGGUAAUAUUAGGAAAUCCGCUUGUAAAAAAUAUAUAUCUUCACUAGUGGGUCAUAGCCAUGAGCCCAUAGUUCUAUUUGUACUAGCGCAUGUUCUUUAGAACCGUCAGUGAAAAAAACUACCAUCAGCAAAAAAAAAAACUAUUUUUGUAUCAGUGUAUAUUAUCUUUUUCAGCCAUGCAUAACAACACAGACCGUGCAUUGUUCUUUUUGGGACAGAAGAGUAUAUGAUCAUGAAGCUUCACACGCUUUAAGUUUCCAACUCAACGACUCAGAUAUGUUCAAGAUCAUGACAAAAGGCAACAAGCUAGAUCGAACUUUGGAAUGGAACAAUUUUGAGAUUUGCACAAAAAUUUGAUAGCGACGCACGCUUUGAGAAUCUCAAUCGAACAGCACACCCGAUCAGGCCCAAAAGUAGUCCGAAUACGUUGAUGAUUGACGAACAAAAUUAUAAACACACAUGGUCCCUACAAGGACGUUGUUAAUUGGAUUUCUUGGAUCAUCGAGAACACCAUUUAUUGUUAAUUUUAUGGAGAGAUGUGGAGAUGUACACAGGCCAACAUACACACGAGAUGAACGUAGUACCUUCCAGGAGGUACCUCACAUGCAACCAAAGCUAGCUAAUGGUCCAGGCUUAAUUCUUAAAAAUAUGUUUAACCAAUUUGCUUAGCUAGAUACGCAUCUCGGCAGUUGCUCAAUCUAUAUGUGUACCAAAUGUAUAUCUCCUCAUGAUAGUCUGUCGAAAUGUGCGCUACUUUUUGGUGACAGAUCUUGAGUAGGUACUUAGUUUUGUUGAUUCCUGUACUCUUAACAUAUGAAACAGAAUCAGUAUUAGUUGCUACGAAUCGUACCAUAGCGAAGUUGAGGAAAAUGUGUCAACCUGGCAUGCUGUUCGAAAUGAUACUUGAACUUUGUAGGUAGGAUUAUUGCAAAGUAAAAGGUGUACAAGAAAAUUCUCUUGUUCCAAUGUAAGUGGGGUCUCAAUAUAUGAGGCCUCGUUUAGUUCACUUUAAAACCCAAAAACUUUUUAAGGUUUUUGUCAUAUCGAAUCUUGCGAUACAUGUAUGAAAUAUUAAAUAUAGAUAAAAAAUAAUAAUUAAUUACAUAAUUUGUCUGUAAUUUGCGAGACGAAUCUUUUCGACAUAAUUAGUCCAUGGUUGGACAAUAAUUGCCAAAUAAAAACGAAAGUGUUAUAGUACCCAAAAACGUUUCUCACCUCCUCAACUAAAUAAGGCCUGAGUUCAUUAGUGACUGACCGAUUAUCCUUACAUUUAGAUUAAGAUAACUGAUUUGGUCUUUGAUGUACAUGCCGUUUUAUGUUUUCUUGCCCUAGCCUUUGUUUUUCUUAAGAUAUAACAGAGGUAAAACACUCCACUCGUUUGAAUGUUAUUAUCAAAAAAAUCUCUCUUAUCAUAGACUUAAUUAUUGUAAAGUCAAAAUAGACGCCACCUGAGGUUGGUACAGACGUAAGCACAUUAGUUUAGUAUACAUUACUUAGUUUAUUAUAUUCAAUAAUCCAAUAAGUUUGAAUGUUCUUAGUUGUCUAAGAUUAAGAAACAUAUAUACUAUCCAGUAACAUUUUAUAAAUAUUCUCUUGAGUUGUAUCUAGCAAGAAUAUUCUGUCACAUCCCAAUCACCAUGGCAAAUUUAUUAACACAAUAAUGCAAGCAACUAUAUAUGUGUACCGAGUUAGACCACUCGUUUGAUACUUGUUAAGCGACAAGUUUUUGAGAAACAGGAGAGGCUCAGGGAGCCUCUACUGGAAUAUAUUAAAAGAUAAACAAACAGAAGAGUUUACAAAGUUAAGCGACAAGUUGAAAACAAGAAUUGUAUCAUACUGUAUGCCAUUGCCCGUUGCAGCUGGAACCAGCAGGGAUAUGCGUACUGCCGGUUCACUCUAAAAUUAAUCAAUUUGGCAAGUUUUCUCUAGUUCGCCUAAUACUCCGUUCAUCCCUCCAUUCCAAAUUGUAAGUUCAUUUCGGUUUUAUAGAUUCAUAGUGUUUGAUAGUGUAUAUCUGGGUGUUUGGAUUCCAGUGUCACAUCAGACAUUUGGAUGCUAAUAACUAAGGGACUAAAUAUGAACUAAUUAUAAAACUAAUUGCAGAGGAGUAGACAAAUUAGGGAGAUGAAUCUAUUAAGCCUAGUUAAUCCAUAAUAAUUAGUAUAUAUUUAUUGUAGCACCAAAUUAUCAAAUCAUGGACUAAUUAGGCUUAAUGAUUUGUCUUACAAAUUAUCUCAAGAUAUAGAAUUAGUUUUAUAAUUAAUCUAUAUUUAAUACUCUACUUCUAAAUUAGUGUCAAACAUUUGAUGUGACAGGGACAUGUUUGGUCUGUGGAACCAGACGGGCCUCUAGAUACGUAAUCAAAAAGCUAUAUAUGUAUCUAAAAAAAAACUAAAAUAACUUAUAAUUUAGAACGGAGGGAUUAAAAAUCUAGUUAUAAUUUAUUAGUUUACACAAGAACCAAAUAGAUUAAAAGUGCAUGAUCAUAGGGCAAAUUCAUUACUCAUGUAUCGAUUUACGUCAACCGAUAAGUUUAUAUAUCUACUGGUCUUCAUUAUUCUUAUAUAUUCAGUAGGAUUAGGAGGCACAUCAUCCAUCAGGAAAUGUAGUAUUAUCUACCAUUGUUUCACUAGCUACCACACUAGUUGGAACCAACUAGGAAAGCUCGUAUGGUCAAAAUGAUGUUCAACACUUACAGUUAUUUGCAUGCUGAUUAAUCAUUGAAAGUGGUUUAGGGUGGUACCAGUAUCAAACUUAGCAUUACAUUACAGUAAGCCAAACUUGGUCCACUUCACCCCAGUCUAAAAUAUUCUCACAAAGACAGGAUCAAACUAUUUUAAUUUGAUAUCCAAAAGCUGCGCCUUGACUACUAUAGUUUAGUGCUAAUCAUGCAUGGUUAGUGUUCAGUAAACAACCACUGUCACAUACAGAACUGAUCACUCCAAUUGGCCAGGAACCGUUACACUGAAUCGUUCAAAACAUUCAAAACUUUCUCAGGCGGAAUGUUUUAUAUGUAAAAAUCGUCAGGACUAAUUCUGUUAAUCAAUAGCUUAUAUGGUUAUUAGUUUUCAAAGUUAAGAUACAUAUACAUCCCUGAAUUAAUUCAUACCUAGGCCUCUUAGACCGUCAAUAAACUUUCACCAUCAAUUGAACUUACCCUGUACCAUCACACAUAUGUAUAUAGAUAGUAAUAUAUAGUGCAGAGGCAAGAAAACACUCAGCAAGUCGUGUGUAAGUCCAUCGUAAAUAAUUAUUAAUCCUAAAUAGUACAAUUGCUCAAGAGUGUAAGCUAUGGUUGAACAUGACAUAAGCAAUUUAAAAUGGGGUCACAGAAUCAUCAUGCAAUAUGUUAACCACAUGCACGACGACAGCAAGUUUACAAGUGAAGUUUGUUAGAUUGAUCCUGACGAAGACUGAUACAACUCAAAAACCCAAGUUGGAGCUAAGAAACCAGUAGGAAAUAGGCCAAACAUUCUCACCAGCUGCAUACCUGAAAUAGAAGGAAAUGAGCUUAGGUCAGCUAGUAGGGCCGGGAUACCUAGUUUCUCUUACCUUCAAUUUUAUGUCUUUUUUUCUUUUCAGAAACAAAUAUGUUCAGUUUCACAAGGACGUCCUUAUUAGCACAAAUACAAAGCUGGCAAAAUCCUCUCUGCAAGGAUGAUUGAGAUGUCUCUUAGAGAAGGAGGGGGAUUUGGAUAUGGUGUUCCUGUAAUUUUACAAAAAUCAAGGUCUGGUUUCCAAAUCAGACCCUCCGGUUUCCGUAAAUAAAUUGAGUACACUAGAAAUUAGGUUAACUAAGAUAAGCAAUUAAGACUGCGGCUCCUAGAUGACGUCUAGAGAGUUACUAUCGAGGUCCCUACAUACAAGUAAGCACAAACCAAGUAGAACUCAGAAGAAUCACAAUGCAAUGCAAAUAAGGGGAUUUGCAAUAAUCAAACCAAAGUGGAGAUGCAAUUAUUUGUUUAUUAUCUAAGUAGAUAGUUAAAUACACUAGUGACCCUCAAACUUAUACGAGUGUGUGAAAUAGGUCUACGAACUUCGAAAAGGCAUCCAUGCCCGCCACAUGGGCAUUUCUCGUUGAUGUGGCAUAUGUUAUAGUGUGGACCUCUAAUAGAACAUUUAAGCAUUGAUGAAGUAUGAUAUUAUACUUAGUGGUUGUUUGACUGGGCUCCUUCUAGGCUUCUAAGGGGGCUUCUCUAGCCUGUUUUCAUUGAAAAAUGAUUUCUUCUAUAAAAUGUUUGGUAGGGCUCCUCCAAAUGAGCCAGAACCGGAGCUAAGGAGGAGCCUUACCAAAUAGACCUUUAUACUUGCACCUCUAAUCAGCUAAGCUAGGCUUGAUUCUAGACAUAUCAGUUAUAUCUAGGUAGACAUAUAUGAUUAUAUUCCAUAAGAUUAUAUCCUGAUUGGGUACCAAUCCAUGUAAAUGCUUUGCCCGCAGUAUAUAUUUGGAUGCCCUAUCUGGAAUUUCUAGGUUUUUGGCCUACAUCCCAGCUAUCUAACUUCAUCAAUGUUCAUAAAGCUAAGUGAGCUUAGCUAGUAAGCAUACAUAGAAAACAGAGUUAGAAUCUCACUUAUUUAAAGAUAGUAGUGUUCCUACUAUGUUUCAACACAGAGUAGCUAGCUUGGCAGCAUAAUCCAUAGCUAGCUGCAUAUGCGUGACUUCGGUAACAACAAUAUUGCAUCUAUAUCUAGCUAAUUGGCCACGGUUCCUAAUUACUAGCUAGGCCCCAUUUUCUUAACACUCGUAAUUAAGGAGUAGUGGUUAAGGACAGCUAUACACAGGAGUAGAGGACAUAGAACUGCAGAGAGAUGUGAGAGAUGGCUAGGAACUGGUCCUACAUUAUUAGAUAAGCACAGAGACAUAUUCUAUGCCAUGUUUAUGUUGGGUUUGCCAUCAUACUCACAUCACUUGUUUUUUUUCCCUAUACUAUUGAAGUAUUGAUCAAAUCAAGCUCACAAAUCUAUUAUACAACGGCAACAUUGUUUUUCCCCCCUUGCAUGUCAUCCACUGAUCACUACUAUUAUUUUCUCCUGGCCCCACAUACCCCAGCCUCCUAAGCGCUCUCUCUCUCUCUCUCUCUGCCUACUUGUAUAAAUGCCCAGCUCCUUCCCUCCCAAGUGAGAAGAGGAGGAAGAAGCACUCAGCAAGAGCUUUCAAGAAGCUUUGCUUGUAGUUGUGUUUGCUUUGCUCAAUCUACUGAAAAAAAAACAGCAGAGAGAAAGAGAUCACCAUAACUGAGUUAUUAGCAAGAAAGUGGUAGAGAGGUAUGGGGGUGAUGGACGAAGCAGAGCCGAUGAAGAAGACGAUGAUAAGAGUGAGGGAGUUUGACGUGGAGAGAGACCUCAGGACUGUGGAGGAGCUCGAGCGUCUGUGCCAGGUCGGCCUAUCGGGCGACGACCAAGGCUCUGACCCUGUGGCCGACCAUGAUGGCGGCGGCGCAGCGAAGACGACGACGAGGUGCAGCAGCAAGAAGAAGAGCAAGAAGAAAGGCAUGUCGCUCUACGUCGAGCAGAUCGGCGACCCGUUUGCCCGGGUGCGCCAUGCGCCGGACAACGUCAUGCUGGUAAUUUUACUAUGCCACAGCUCAUGCACCCGGCCAGCCGCCGGGCGCCAUUGACGCUUUCAGUCUGACCUCGCGUGCCUCCGGCAUGGUAGUGAUGCUCAUGAUCGAGCGUGCUUGAUUUGUGCAGGUUGCUGAGUACGGUGAGGAAGAUGAGGUCGUCGGAGUGAUCAAGGCGUGCACCAGGAUGGUAAGCAGAGGAAAGAAGAAGCAAAGCCUCAGCAGCAGCAGCAGCAGCAGCUCGAAGCAGUUCGUCAAGGUGGCAUGCCUUCUGGGCCUCAGGGUGUCCCCUUCCCACAGGUGAUUAAUUAAACAACUAAAGCAAUUAACCCGAGUUAAUCACUGUACACAAAUCAUCAGAUGCUGACACAUUGCGCGAGCAAAGCUGCAAUGCGAGUGCGAGCAACCACCACCACGUGGGGUCAGUGCGCUGACAGUCGCCUUUCGUCGUCUCCGUUGUUGUGCAGGCGCCUCGGGGUCGCGACGGAGCUGGUCCGGCGCGCCGAGUCGUGGUGCGCGGCGCGCGGCGCGGCGUACGCCACCAUGGCCACCACCGAGUCCAACGCCGCGUCGCUCGCGCUCUUCACCGGCCGCUUCGCGUACGCGCCGUUCCGGCGGCCGGUGUUCCUGGGCCACCCCGUGCACCGCCACCGGGUGCGCAUCCCGCGGGCGCACCGCGUGCUGCGCCUGCCCCCGCCGCUCGCCGCGGCCGCCUACGCCGCGCUGCUCCCGCCCUCGGCCGCCGAGUUCCUCCCCGCCGACCUCCCGGCCCUGCUCAACCACAAGCUCACCCUCGGCACGUACCUCGCCAUCCAGCGCGGCGGCGGCGGACCCGACGAGGACCCGGCCCGGACGCCGUCGUUCGCGCUGCUCAGCGUCUGGGACGCCACGCGCUCCCUCCGCCUCCGCGUCGGCGGCGCGCCCACGCUCCUCCGCGCGUCCCUGGCCGCGGCGCGCGCGCUCGACCGCCACGCGCCGUGGCUGCAGGUGCCCUCCGUCCCCGACAUCUUCCGCCCGUUCGGGACCUACCUCAUGUACGGCCUCCGCAUGUCCGGACCGGAGGGCCCGGCGCUCCUCCGCUCGCUCUGCCGGCACGCGCACAACGUCGCGCGCAAGAACCCCGCGUGCGCCGUCCUGGCGGCCGACCUCGGGCCUGACGACCCGGCCAAGGCCGUGGUGCCGCACUGGCCCAAGUUCUCGUGCGACGAGGACGUCUGGUGUAUCAAGAAGCUCGGUGCUUCCACCGUCGGUGACAAUGCUGGCAACGACGACGACGACUGGACGACGUCGCCGCCGCCCAACGUCCUGUUCGUGGACCCCCGGGAGUUCUGACGUGGGCCCAAUGCGAACAAGUUUUGAUUUUUUGAAGACCCUGUAUAUACAUCAUAUACAUACAUUAUACAUGGACAUGAUGUUGCACGUCGAUACGAAAAAUUGGAUUUGCUUCUUGCAGCUUGCUCUUGCACCCAAGUAUGAUUGGUUCUGAAACUCUGAACUUCUGAAGAGCAGUCGGUGGUCAUUUUUUUAAGUGAAUUGGCCAUCUAUCUCUUCAAGAUAUGCAUUCAAGGGCCAGAACACUGGACAUGCUGCACUUGGGGUCUCUUUUGUAUAGCAAAAUGAAUCAUAGCUCAUUCUAGCACAGUUAUUCAAUCAAAUUUGAAAGUGAAUAAAGUUUAUUUGUUUAUAUUAUAUGGUUUACAUGAACUGAGUCAAAGCAGCAUCGACCACGCAACCAGCGUGAAUUUGAGUGAUAAGUACUACAAAAGGGAGUUGGAGGGAGAAGCCACAAAUUGCAUUCCGAUUUCUACAUAAAAAACGGCUCAUGCUCCUCUUGCAUGCCAAAAAAAAAACAGCUCCUUCUCCUAAGGUAUUUGGUACGUCUCAUCCACCGAAGCUGUUGUUGGAGCUAGAACCAGAGCCAUAUACCAAACAUACCCAUUACAAUCAAUAGUUCCCUUGAAUAAUUUAUAAGGUCCAUAUCCACUGACCAUCGAACAAACGUAAAUCAAGGUACUGAAACUUUGAAAGGAGUUUUGUACUUGCUGUAUCAUAGUAAUCUCUUGUUUCCACAAGAUCACAUCUGGCACAAAUCGUAGAUCAAAUCUCUGAAUGUUGAAAAUGAAAGGCUUUUUCUAUAUAUGCAGCAACUUGAUGGGUCCAGUUCAAUGCAGCUCACAAAGGAAAGUGCUGAUUUCGAGAUAAUGUCGCGACCAACCCCAGAUAGCAUAUAAAGGGGCUCGAAUACUAAUUGCCUUUUGCACCAAUGCUGCGAGUGCAGACAGUGCGUACCUUCUUCGAGCCACUGGCCACGGCGAGGCCCUACGUGAAAUUUAUACUAAGACUUACGUUCUGGGCUCUCAGAAUAGAAACAGCUAAGAAACAAAAGAAGAGCAAUUUUAUCCAUGUACUACCUCAGUAUCCUUAGGUUCUCCAAAACCUGAAACAGAAACGUUGGACAUUAUGAUAUAGCAAUCAAACUAUUUGUUUGGUGAUAACAAAUAUUUUUUUACAAAUAAGUAACAAAUAUGUACAGAGGGCAGAAAUACAUAAAAUUGCAAAAUAGUACAAUUUGCAAGUGACACUGGAAUUUGAUUCUGAAAUGCAUUUUCCUACUGGGACAAUAAGAAUGACAUACAGCUAUCAAUGCCAACUUACAUGCAUUCGCUGUUCAUUUUUUCCAAGUUCAAACAGAACAAAACUGAAGAUAUUCUAUGUGCACCGAGAAAAAGUGCAAUUGUUUAUGUCAUACAUCUGCUGUGUAAUUUUUUCAAACUAUGAACAGAACAUUCCUUGCAUUUCUCUUCGUCUAAAGAACCUCCCUAGAUAGGAGGCCACAAAUUAAAGACAGAAGCAUAUCUGUUGCUGGCUGUCAUGUGCAGACUGAGAAUAAAUAUGCGAGUUGGCCCCAUCUAAUAAAGAGUAAUGUGGACAAGAAUAUGCAUAAGCAGUCCAAUCUGCUUAAAAGACACUAUGCAACUAUAUCUGACAAGAACUGCAAUUGGACGAGGAUAAGCAAAAUAUCAGUCCAAUCAGUUAGUGAACCACUUAAGCAAAACCGAAUAGAACAUGUUACAAAGGGAACAAAUAAAUAAGUUAGACAAAACAACAAUCUGCUUUUAGGUCGCCUUGCAUAAGGAAUGUACCCAAAUAAAAGAGAAAAAAAUGGCUAGUAAUAAUAUAACAAGCCUAGAAAGAAUAAAAGAACAAAGAAAAGCUAACAACAAGCAAAAAUAUCAGUCAGUGAAUAGUAUCCUGCAAUCGAAAACUUUAUUUUGCACAUUUCAAUGGCAUAGAUAUUAAUAUAUCAAUAGUAAUUUAUCAUUUUAUUGGUGAAGACUAAUCACAAAAUUUUAUUUUGCGCACUCCAAUUGGCACAGAUACUAAUCCCUGAAAUAAUAAUUUACUGAUGAAGACUAAUCAGCAAUGAAGAAUAAGAAACGCGCUCCAAAUAAUCUGAAAUAGUAAUUUACUGGUGAAGAAUAAGCACCAGUGAUGGAUAAGAAAUACACUUCAAAUCAUUCCCGGAGACCAAAAAGAUAUCAGGUUGCUUUUUUUGGAAAGUGAAAGAUCCACAAGAAUACAGUAAUCACACAUGUUUAUUUUGAUCCACUUUAUAUCUGAUUGCUUAGGAGCACUGGCAAGACUAUAGCAGUUUUGACUCCCUGCCCACACAUCAUGUCCAAUAAGGUUCGAUUCAUAAACAGAUACACUUUCAAAUAACAAGUAAUAUUGCACCUUGCUGAGGAGUGAGGUGGACUAGAUGGCAACAGCUGAGAAGAGGAACUUUCAAACAAUGUGUUAGAUCUCAUUCCUUCUUGUUACUUGCCCAAAAAUAUGACAAGGAUAGCCAAUUCAACAAAAAUAGGCAUGUGCAUGCAGCCAACUACUUGCCUCAGUUGGCUCAAAGGAUGGCUGUUGCACUUGCACAUGCCACAAUGUCUUUCAACUUCGUUCAUUAUUAUUAGGAAUUAGGUACUUCACACAGUAGACAUAAUAAUAGGAAUUGGGACCAGAUCUGCCUUGGUACUCCUCAUCGGUACUUAGUUUAGCCAUUGGAAUUUUAUCAGCUUGUGGUUCAAGGAACUGCAAAAAUAUCAGUCAAAAUAACCAAACUCGUCUAUAGAAUCUUACCGAUUCAAGUUUCAAACUGAAGAUAAGUUCAAACAGCAGAGUUACAAAAGAAACCACAGAAAAAAAAA
rnacentral:lncRNA from 1 species